rnacentral:rRNA from 1 species
UGGCGGACGGGGGAGUAAUGUCUGGGAAACUGCCCGAUGGAGGGGGGUAACUACUGGAAACGGUAGCUAAUACCGCAUAACGUCGCAAGACCAAAGAGGGGGACCUUCGGGCCUCUUGCCAUCGGAUGUGCCCAGAUGGGAUUAGCUAGUGGUGGGGUAACGGCUCACCUAGGCGACGAUCCCUAGCUGGUCUGAGAGGAUGACCAGCCACACUGGAACUGAGACACGGUCCAG